UUCUUGGUAAUUUUGGCUGUGUUUGUAUUGGCUUACGCCAUUGCUUCGUACUCUAUUCUCUACCCCAAUGCUCCAAUUACUUGGGAAACUGCUAGACAAAUAAUAAGAAAGCCUUACUUGCAUCUUUAUGGAGAACUCUUUCUAGACGAGACAGAAGAUUCAACGGAUUGUACAAAUGACACUAGCCUAUGGACGAACGGAACAAGUCCACGCUGCCCAAGCGAGACUGGCAAGAUUGUGGUCCCCAUCAUGAUGGGAAUUUACCUGGUGUUUUCCAAUAUCCUGCUUCUUAACCUUCUUAUUGCAAUGUUUAGUUUCACAUUUACAAAAAUCCAUGAGCAAUCAGACAAGAUUUGGUGUUUCCAGAGAUACUUUAUUAUCAAGGAUUACGCGCUACGGCCUGUAUUAUGCCCUCCUUUAAACGUGUUUUGGCUCAUAUACCAGCUGUUCCAAUGUUGUCUACAUAAAUGUAAAAGAUCUCAGGAUGAUC